CCCCGCCACACGAACAAAACCCCGGCGCGAGACGCGCCAAGGAAUAGAAAACGAAGAGAUAGGGAACGGGUGGCCCGUCGAGUGCCGGAGACGGAUCUCUCGCGGGCGACCCCUUCUCGUUCGGAAACAAAACGACUCUCGGCAACGGAUAUCUCGGCUCUCGCAUCGAUGAAGAACGUAGCGAAAUGCGAUACUUGGUGUGAAUUGCAGAAUCCCGUGAACCAUCGAGUCUUUGAACGCAAGUUGCGCCCGAAGCCUUCGGGCCGAGGGCACGCCUGCCUGGGUGUCAUGCGUCGUCGCCCCCCGACCAUCGGGACGGGCGGAGAUUGGUCUCCCGUGCGCUCCCGCUCGCGGUUGGCCGAAAUACGAGUUGUUGGCGGCCGAUAGCGCCCCG
rnacentral:rRNA from 1 species